rnacentral:rRNA from 1 species
GAAUAUUGGACAAUGGGCGAAAGCCUGAUCCAGCCAUGCCGCGUGUGUGAAGAAGGUCUUCGGAUUGUAAAGCACUCCAAGUUGGGGGGAAGGGUCGCAGUUUAAUACUCCGCUAUUUUGACGUCACCGACAGAAUAAGCUCCGGCUCACUUCGUGCCAUCCCCCGCGGUAAUACGAAGGGCGCAAGCGUUAAUCGGAAUUACUGGGCGUAAAGCGCGCGUAGGUGGUUUGUUAAGUUGGAAGUGAAAGCCCCGGGCUCAACCUGGGAACUGCUUUCAAAACUGGCAAGCUAGAGUAUGGCAGAGGGUGGUGGAAUUUCCUGUGUGGCGGUGAAAUGCGUAGAUAUAGGAAGGAACACCAGUGGCGAAGGCGACCACCUGGGCUAAUACUGACACUGAGGUGCGAAAGCGUGGGGAGCAAACAGG